rnacentral:rRNA from 1 species
UACGUAGGGGGCAAGCGUUGUCCGGAUUUAUUGGGCGUAAAGAGCUCGUAGGCGGUUCGGCAAGUCGGGUGUGAAACCCCCAGGCUCAACCUGGGGACGCCACCCGAUACUGCUGUGACUUGAGUCCGGUAGGGGAGCGUGGAAUUCCUGGUGUAGCGGUGAAAUGCGCAGAUAUCAGGAGGAACACCAGCGGCGAAGGCGGCGCUCUGGGCCGGAACUGACGCUGAGGAGCGAAAGCGUGGGGAGCGAACAGG